UACGGGGGGGGCAAGCGUUGUUCGGAAUUACUGGGCGUAAAGGGCGCGUAGGCGGCCUGCUAAGUCGGACGUGAAAUCCCUCGGCUCAACCGAGGAACUGCGUCCGAUACUGGUGGGCUUGAAUCCGGGAGAGGGAUGUGGAAUUCAUGGUGUAGCAGUGAAAUGCGUAGAGAUCAUGAGGAAGACCAGUGGCGAAGGCGGGUCUCUGGACAGUUCCUGACACUGAGACACGAAGGCCAGGGGAGCAAACGGG
rnacentral:rRNA from 1 species